rnacentral:rRNA from 1 species
GAUGAACGCUGGCGGCGUGCCUAAUACAUGCAAGUCGAGCGAACAGACGAGGAGCUUGCUCCUUUGACGUUAGCGGCGGACGGGUGAGUAACACGUGGGUAACCUACCUAUAAGACUGGGAUAACUUCGGGAAACCGGAGCUAAUACUGGAUAAUAUUUCGAACCGCAUGGUUCGAUAGUGAAAGAUGGCUUUGCUAUCACUUAUAGAUGGACCUGCGCCGUAUUAGCUAGUUGGUAAGGUAACGGCUUACCAAGGCAACGAUACGUAGCCGACCUGGAAGGGUGAUCGGCCACACUGGAACUGAGACACGUUCCAGACUCCUACAGGAGGCAGCAGUAGGGAAUCUGCCGCAAUGGGCGAAAGCCUGACGGAGCAACGCCUCGUGAGUAAUGAAGGUCUUCGGAUCGUAAAACUCUGUUAUUAGGGAAGAACAAACGUGUAAGUAACUGUGCACGUCUUGACGGUACCUAAUCAGAAAGCCACGGCUAACUACGUGCCAGCAGCCGCAGUAA